CUCCCCAAUUCGUUUCUCUCCCCUCCUCUCUCUCUCUCUCUCCUCGCCUCCUUGCAGCCGGUACCUUCAUGAAAGUCUCUACAGCGCCUUUGGCUAUGUCCAGAUAGGUGGUGCCCAGAGAGCUGUUAAACCUUCCAGGAGGAAAACUUUCCCUGGGAGGUCAGUGCCCUGCCCGUACCCGCCGAUCUGCCUGAUCCCACUUGUCGCCGUUCCAGAGAUUUCUUUUGUUUGCUCCUUUAAGCAUUCUUUCUUGCCUUCACUGCGAAGUUUCAGUAGCCCCGGAAAUCAUAUCCUUUCUGAAGGGUUGGACCCUCCUGCACAUUUCAUAGCAUAGCAACGUAACUCUAUUACCAUGGAUCCCAGACACAGGCGUGCAGAAUUUAUCUAACUAAUCGAGUGGUUAAGGGACACCAAUCCCAGCUACAGGCAGCUAGGAGCAUAAAGUGGUUACAGCUAAAAGAUAUUCUACAAGCACUUCCCAGAGAAGCAAAACAUGUAUUUUUUUUAUUAUUAUUUAUUUUUAAUGGCCAAUGUAAUGGGUAUUGUCUUAGUAAACAAGAGGGCAGAGUUAUUCAUUCAUCCCUAAAAUGUUUCCCACUGAGGUAGCACACCUGCAUGUGGUAUUUGAGAGCUGGGAGCUCUUUCCCUAAAAUACUACCAUGCUGUAGAAGUUUAUUAUCCAGCCUUUACUCUAAAUGUGAUUAUUAUGCCUUGCCAUCUUUUGCCCCAAAUCACAGCGCUGUAAAAGAAAGACACACUUGGUUGCUCUCCGCAAGGCAGCUGGCACGACUGGUGUCAAAAGGCACAUAUACCUCGCGGUCUGACUUUUGCCAUUUAGCAAUUAAUGAAAACGUAUCAAAUCUCAACAAGCAGAUAAUUGGAAACCUGAACAAAAGCCCUCCCUAAAGCACAGACAUAGGUCUUCUACAGUAAGACAAACCUGAUAAAAAUAUAAAAAAGCUUCUCAUCCAAGGAAGAAACCUGUCCGUCUGCGUUCUCUGACUUCUAGCACCUUUGGCUAGACAUUUGGGACCAUGUGCUGAGCAUGUUAUUCAGAAGGUACAGGUGAAAUGAACGGAGAGGGGUUUUAUUUCUGUUUUUACAUGCACGUUGAAGCCCUGAUAUAAGACCUACUUGUUUAAAAGGUCGAGAGCCUUGCACGAGGAAGUCAAAUGGAUGCCACGGCGGGCAAAUCUGCUUUGCACUGACUUGCAGAAAAAGAAGUGACUUGUAGAAAUAUUUCGAAUGGGAAGGAAAGACGCUUAAAGUGUUGCUUUGAAAAGUGCAGAAGGAUAAUUCUUACCAAGUUGAAAUCACAAACGUGUUUCUCAUGAGGAAAAUUUUAGAACAGAGUUGAGACCAGCUUAUAAUGAACCCUGAAUUGCAAGCGUAACCCUUCUUCAUAAUAACAGCCUGCAUCCAGCAGCGCUGUUUGGUCAGCAAUGGUUCUUUUGUUGUUGGAGAUGGCUUUGAAUUUCACGAUGUUGCAAUCGGAAAGCCUUGACCGUUUCAGGAUCAGCUCUAAUAUUUUCCUGUUGGUAAGCCAUUUGAAAGCCAAUAUACACUUUAUGGUUAUUUUCCAAGCACGGUUCCAAAACAAAAAGCCCAAGAAAGCCCAUUCCGUAAUUCAGGCUGACGCUAAGCGUACAGUUGGCCAGUUUUGGCAAAGCUUAUUGUGUACACUGGUUGUGUGAUGAAUUAACAUUUCCUCUGAGAUUCUUCUGUGCCUUCCCUCCCCUGAGAUAUUUCUAUUUGCUGCUGUUUCUCUUUUGUGAGGGCCUCGACUCUGUUACAGUCAUUCAUGUCUGACUGGGUUAUGUGGGUUGUGAAUGCACAGCUCGCACUGAUCGAUAUAACUGUGGUCUUGAAGGAAGAUGGAGGUUAAUAAAGCAAUGGAGGCAAAUCCAGGCUUUUAACCAUUAUAUCCAUUGCACCUAUUUUCAAGGUAUUGUGAUUUUAUUUAUUUGAUUUUAUUUGAUUUUCCUUGAUCAUUUUUUUUCUUCAUGUCUUCCAUCUCACAUCCUCUCUAUCUUACCUUUUCCUUCAGAAAAAAGUUACAGGAUUUUUUUCUCGGUGUUUCAGCUUAGAUAUUCAGCAUGCCUCUCCUCAGCUGGCUGAGGGAAAAAAAGCCAAAACUACUAAUUUGCCCUGACAAGUCUUCACUCUCUGUGUUUUUGAUGAUUGGUUGUGCUCUGUGCUUGACUUCAGCAGCAGCUAAUAAGUAACUCCUGAUCCAGCAAAAGCUUCCAAAGGUUGACAGAUAUCACUUGAGCUCUCAUUUCAGAGGGGAGGGAACAGAGGAAUUGGCUGCUGACUGAUAAAGGCCUGCUCAGACAUCUCUACAGAGGGAUUCUGCAAGCCAGAUGCUGGAGUUCCUAAAAUGUGAAUCCGUACAGCAAAGUGCUUCAGAGGACAGCCCGUGCUUUGCUGUGUGCCACUGAGGAGCUAACUCAAGACUGCCCACACACGAGCACUCCUGGAGCGCUCAGGCUCCUGAGCAGCUGCCUAGGAGUGCAAAGAAGUUUGCUAGAUGCCUUGCUGGUACCUGUUCCUGUGGUGAAUGGGUUGUUGUGGCCAAACUGCUGGGUUGAGAGGGACCAAAACUAUGGAGAGAUUCAUCACCUGGAUCUACGCUGUAAACUGAAGAGGCCAAUGCUCAGGCAGUGCUAUGCAGAGCUCUUAAAAUUGAGCUGUGGGCACGUUACCUGGCAGUUCUGGCACGUGACUUUGGGCAUUCUCUCAAAAGGUAUCUGGAUAUGGCAUAGAAAAAAACAUGGGGGGCUGGAACUAGAUAUCUUUGAGGUCCCUCCCAACCCAAGCCAUCCUAUGAUUCUGUGAUGGACUAGGCACCAUUCCCCACAGGCAGUUUUACAUCACCACACUGUCUUGGGGGAAGAUAAAAAUUUAGUUUUGUGAUGUUAACCAGGCCAUGCUGGCAUAAAACCAAAAGAGCAAGGUUUGGGGGAAAAAAAAAAAAAAAAAAAAAAAAAAGGUCUGGUUUAUGAACCAAUAGAACCAGACCCAUUCUGGAGCAAAACUUACUGCUGCAGUUAUGGCCUCAGGCUCUCUGGCCUCUGGGAAAGGUUUCUUCAUUUCAAUGUGUUUAGGUAUGUGCAUACAUCCUAUAUGCAUGGGGCUUUUCAAAUGAAGGGGCUUUUCAAAUGAAGAAACCUGUUUCCAAGACUGCCUCAUUACAACUUGAGGGUCUUUACAUGCUCUUAAUUACUGCCUGUCCCUUAUCCAAGGUCUUUGCAUUUGAACACUUCAGGAGCACUAGCAUGGCCAGUUUUUACAGUGUAUCUUGCCAUGGUUCAGUAAAAAAAUAACUAUUGCCUUGUUCCCUCCUAUUACUGACAGCUGACCUAACUAACACAGCAGAUGAGUUCCUUUGACCUCAGAGCAUCACUUGCCCUCACAUGAAAUCUUUUGAGCAUCUUCUUGUUGACACUGAUAUCUGAUUUAGAGCCUCUGUGUGAAAAUUUUCUUGUUAUAAUAUGUAAUAUGGAGGCUAUUCUGGUGCCAGUUAGCUUGAACAUCAAAAGCUAAACUGAAAGUGUCAGACUUUUUUUUUAGUUUGUCCCAAAUGAACUUUUUUUUUUUUUCCCUCCACUUGGACUUUUCUUAUCCACUUUCAGGGGUAUGAGAUGCAGAUUCACCAGUUCCUCGGUCUUCACAGAGGUAAUUCCACUCAGUCUUCAUUGACGUAAUUGUCAGAUGGUAUUUUUGCACAAGGAAGUCACCAAGUUACAGAUGAGGACAUGAUUGAAUAAUUGGUUUUCCCCUCCAAACGUGUGGCCUCUUGUCUCUAGAGCAUUUGCUUUUUUAAACAUAAAAAGCAUUGCUCUCACUUUCACAGAUUUUCUCAUUAGGUGUCUGCCCUGGAAUGGGCCAGUGCUUCCGCACCCACUCUUCUCCAAAGGACAUCUCCCCAAAGCAGCUAAAUUUGAGUUAGAUAUGGUUAUCAUUUCAAAAUCCAAGUGCACUCCGUAGAUUCUGACUACAGACAUAUGGGCCUACUACUGUGCAAGAUGUCCAAGGCAAUCAGAUAUUCCGGCUGUAAUCUAUCUAGAAUAAAAAAGAUGCUGAUCGGGAAUGGCCGUGAGGUAAUCAGAACCAAAUGCUCCACAACACCAUCUGCAAUAGUGCCAUCUGAAUCCAGCAUCACUUGGAUGUACGUACAUGCUCACAGACUGAGAAACUCCUUGCUCCAGCGAGGGCCAGAAAUGCCGGCUUACCUGCUAGCGUGGAGGUGACUCAUAACAUUUGCACAGAACAACACAUGAACGAGUUUGAUUAGAUGAUCUGGGAUGUUUUUUUAACUCCACAAACAGCCCUAUCAUACUGAGUCAUAAGCUGCCUCUCAGGACGUUUUUGCAGGAAUACUUUUCCACUUAAAGGAUGACUUUACCCACCCUGGUUCAGAAACACAAGCUUUUAAAUAAGUAUUUUGUUACAGGUUUGAGCUGAAAAAAUUUGACAGCUUUAGAGGAGGUCUACCUAUUUUUUUUAAGACUCAGAUGCUGGUUUUGUACAAUUUGAAGCUUUCCAUGUAAAUGCAGUAAGAGGUAAUUUACAAAGUGGUUCAACUUCAAGAAAACUGUUCAGCUUCAUAAAACUUCCUCUCAAAAACACAAUAGCACUGUUGAGACCUUUUUGUACCAGAGUUCCUUGCGGGUUUUUCUGUUUGUUUUGUGGUUGUUUGUUUUUGGUUGGUCGGUUGGUGGUUUUUUUGUUUUGUUUUGUUUUGGCUUUGUAAAAUAUUCCACCAUUCUACUUUUAACUUUCAAUAUUAGCAAUCAAAAACAAACAAAAACGUUGGUUUUCUCAAACCAGACUUCUAUAUGCUCAGUAUCUUGUCAUCCACUGUUGGGCCACAUGACUGGCCAUAGAGGUAAGAAACUUGAAGAAAAUAAUUAAAAGACACAAGUUGUAAGAAAACGUUCUUUGAUAUUCCCUAGACACACUCUUAAUUAUACAUGUCAGGAAAAAAAAAAAAGGAAAUGCUUCAAAGCUUUCAUACAGUUAGUGUAUUAUGUAAAAGAAAUUUAUUUACCUUUCAAGCAAGUUACACAAUUUAAUCUAUUUUCCAAAUAGAAAAUAUAUUUAUUGAUGCUACUCCAUGAUUCUUCAACAUCACAGAGGGAAGGAAGAUUUAGAAAAGCAGGUUCUGAAGUCCCGAAGCCUAGAAAAAUAUGAGAAUAAUGAUCUUAGAAUUAGUGAUCAGAGAGUUCUACUAAAAAGACAGUGAAUAAAAUUAGAGAGAUUUUUGACAGCAAGUUGGAAGCCCAAAAUGUGAGUAAUACUAUAGCUGGAUCAGUGAGGACAAAGGAAACAGCAAUAAGACUGCAUACAAUGCCAGAACUGCUUAUGGGGCAAAAUGCAUGAGCCAGGAGUUCUCAUUUGCAGCCCACACACUGACACAGCAUCACUUUUUUGUUCUCACAUGUUCACAGUCAGUUACAAAGCCAACAGCUCUUGCACAGCAGCUAGAAAUUAGUGUACUUCUCAGUAAGGUUCUACAGAGUGCCAUGCACAGUGCCUUGCCCAUAGUUUAAAGCUAUUUUUUUUUUUUCCAGAACUUCGACAUAUAGCAGAUUGAAUUUUGGAUCAGUUUUUGAUAGGUCCCUAUUUUCUGAAUGCCAACACGAAACAAGAACUAAAGGUCCUCAUUUUCUGAAUGCCAACAUGAAGCAAAACUAAUGAAAUACAGAAGAAAACUGUCAUAAUGAGCAUGUAGGGUUUAUUAUCAGAAAUGUGAUGGGCAGUGUUAUUCGUUGUGUGAAUGAUAAAUACCUGGAGCAAAAUAAGGGUGCAUUUUUACAAGGUUUUGUAUUUUUAAGCAAGAUGGACAAGUGUAUUUUCCACAGAACGCUUUGGUACUCUGUGAAGUUUGCCUUUCUAUAUAAAGAAUGGAUCUAUAUUUGUUUCCCACAUGCUUCUAAGAAUGAUGUAGCAACUGAAAUUAAAAAUAUUUUUUAGUAACUAUCUCAUGAUGGCUAUCACUGCUGGCAAAACAAGGGAACUGCAAAGGAGAGUGUUUUAAGCACAAAGCUUUGCAGUUGCAUAGCUCAUCGAGUUUUGAAGAAAUAGUAAAUUCCAUAUACUGCAAAGUGGGAAAACAUUUAAUUUACCAACAAGCAGAGAAGAAAAGCAUGAGAGAGGGUAAACUGCUGCUACAUUCAAUGGCUAUUGAGAGGUGGCUCUAUUUGUUGCCAAGUGUUUUUACCUUUUUAAUGUGGUUAUCCUUUGUGUGUACAGCCUUUUGAUUUUGCAUGGGUAAUUGAGGAAGAGGCCUCAGAAGCUGAAAUCUGGCUCACUGUCAAUGGAGCACUUCUGAAUCUAAGCACCAACUCGGGCAACGUGCAAUUUCUCUCCCACACUGGUCCCCCUCUUGCAGAGGGAGAGCAACUCCAAUCAGUUUACGAAAUGGCUCAAAGGGGCACAAGUUAAAUAGUUCUUAAAUUUUACUCACCAUAAAAUAGCUUUUUCUUUAUGAAGGGCUUGUUCCUGGGGAUAUAAAUAUUACUCCAAUUAUUGUUGAGCACUUUAGAAAAGAGGACAGUUUUUGUUAGUACCUGCAAAGAUGCCAACAUAUUUAUUGAAUUGUCCCACUCCUACUGGGUGGCCCCAGUGCUUGCCAGUUUUAGCUGAAAGGUUUGCGAGAUGUCACGAUGCUGCCAGAUCAUGUCACGAUCAUCGUUUUGCAGAACAGUUACCUUUAUGCCAAGACAGUGCUUUUGGGGCUUGGGAUUACUCCUCUUGUUCUAACAAGAAGCAACAACCUUGAAGACACAAGUAUCUAAAAAUAGGGCUGACAGCAGAGCUGGGAGAGGUCCAGGUCCCUCCUCCCUGGGCCUCCUGCUCACCUGCAUGUCCAGAUCCUCUCCAUGUUGCUGCAACUGUCACGCGAGAAAUGAUUGCCUACUUUUCAAAAGAAAUUUAGUUCCUAAAACUCAGGAAAAUCUCACUCCGAUAUACCGAAAUGAGAAAACAAAACCAAAAGUCAGCAAACAAGAUAAAACAGAAGAUGGAGCCAGAGAGCAACUUUUAAAGCGAAGUGCCAAAGAUCGGGAAUUGAAUUUGCUCCAGCUCACAAGACUGCAGAUGAGAAACCGGAGAAAGUAACCAAGACUCUGGUGUGGUACGAGGGCAUGGAAUUGGCUCCACUGUGCGUGUACACAGUGGUUCAGAGCAGCACCCUUUCCCAGAGCUGUUCUGUCCUCACCCAGUCCGUGAAGACGUGGGCCAGUCUUAUUGCUAGCAGGCAGGCAGGCUCAAUCCACUCCAUCCGAGUGAAAGGAGUGAAAGUCAACUCAUACCAAGAAAAAAAGGCUGUGCUUCAUUUACCUUGUGGCAUGCCAAAAAUGCAGAGUAGGAGAAGGGACACUAAGAAACAAAGAUGAGGCAAUAUUCAUUUGAUAAAAGCUGCCUUUUCCAGUUUGUUUUUUUUUCAGCCCAUGCUACUGGCAGAUGUGUUCUUAGAAGACAGUUCAAAUAUUCCAAGCAUACCACAGCAGUACCUGAAAAAAAAAAAA